AAACACGUGCCAACCUAUCGCGUUCUGUACGUGUGACUUGAAUUGAGUCGUUGUGAAUUAUCGAUGAUAGAAUGGUUGUUUAUUGGUAGACGUGUGUACGAAGUUCCUCGUAUGUUAGGGCCUUAAUUUAGUUUCCUCUAUAAUAUAUCUUCCGACCUAUUGAUAGUCCAAUCUCACGGCAAUAUAAAGUGUGUACGGUGCGCAAUUUUUUGGUGAUGGUCAAUAUCUGUGUCUAUGCGACCAUGUGAAAUAUUUAUAACAUAACCUAAACGUCAUGAUCUAAUACCUGUGUAUAUGGCUGAAAUGAAGUCCAAAGCAUAUGGCACAAUUAGCUAUGCCAACAAGCUCAUAUUAGCGCCUAUGGUAAGAGUGGGGACACUGCCUAUGAGACUACUAGCCCUUGAUUAUGGAGCAGAUAUUGUGUACUGUGAAGAACUAAUAGAUUGGAAGUUACUGAGAUCAGUAAGAAGAGAGAAUGAGGUCCUGGGCACUGUUGAUUAUAUAGAUAAGUCAGACGGGACUGUUGUUUUCCGCACCUGCCAACGUGAAAAGAGCCAUGUCGUGUUUCAGAUAGGGACUUGUGAUCCGGAAAGAGCACUGAAAGUAGCAAAACUCGUAGAGAAUGAUGUAGCUGGUAUCGAUGUCAACAUGGGAUGCCCUAAGGAAUUUUCUGUGAAAGGUGGAAUGGGAUCAGCACUUCUUACUCAGCCAAAGAAAGCCCAAGAGAUUCUCAGAAUUCUGGUACAAGGUGUAAAGAUUCCUAUUACAUGCAAGAUCCGCAUCCUUCAUGACCUAGAGAGUACAGUGGAAUUGUGCAAGCAACUAGCAGACUGUGGUAUUGCAGCUAUAGCUGUGCAUGGGCGCACAAAAGAUGAACGACCUCGCCACAUGAACCACAAUGAUUUCAUCAGAGCAGUGUCUCAAAGUGUUAAUAUUCCAGUCAUAGCCAAUGGAGGAUCAAAGGAGAUAGAAAGGUACGAGGAUAUUGCAAAGUUCCGUGAAGAGACAGGAUGCUCCAGUGUCAUGUUAGCCCGAGCUGCCCAAUGGAAUUGUUCUAUAUUUCGUCCAGAGGGUCUGCUUCCCCUGGAUGAUGUAAUAGCUGCAUAUCUGUGUUAUGCAGUGGAUUAUGAUAAUGCUCCAGCCAAUAGCAAAUACUGUGUACAGAACAUGCUGAGGGAGCUUCAGGAGACACCACGGGGCAAGAAAUUCCUUGAGGCCCAAACUCUGCAACAGAUGUGUUCACUGUGGGGUCUGAGUGAAUACUGUUCCAAGAAACAGUUGGAGUUCAAAGAGAGUGGCCUUCAAGAUCGGCAUGCUGUUGUUCCUGUUUUGCUUGAACCACAACUUAAGAAGAGAAAAAUUGGAACUGAAGGCGCUACUGAUGAUAUAGUUGAGAUGCAGUGUUCUUUCCUUCGGAGCCUGUACACAUCAGACGUGGACCUUCCCAAAACAAAACUCCUCAAUUGGGCUAGAGUCAGAGGCCUCAAACAUCCCACUUACACUACACAACAGGAAGAUAAGCUCUUCAAGUCUGUGGUGACACUGGAUGGAAAGAAAUACAGCUCUUCUUACUGGGAGAAGAAUAAACGCAGAGCAGAGCAGGGAGCUGCACUUGUGUGCUUGUGUGCUGUAGGUGUUGUUGACAUCCGUACCUUAACACGUGAUGGAAGUAUACGUUAGGGGAUCUAAAAUGUCGCCACCUACAGUGCGUUGUGUGAGUGGAAGGCAUGAAUACAAUGGAAUGCUGUCUGGUGCCCCAAGUGAAUCAUUAUUGACACUCUAAAUUCUACCUCAGUGCCAUGCAGCCCUCAGCCCGAUGCCUCACCUUAGCUUAGGUGGAUCAUCUUUCCAGAUGUUACCUCCCUCUGCAAUGAGGAUGCCAGUGUUGGCUUUCAGGGCGGUAGGUUUAUUCUGAAGAGCAAGAAUUAUCCAGUGUUCAAUAUAACGAAUUCUUAUAAUUCUGAGUUAUUAAGCAUUUGCUAAAUAAACAUCACAUAGAAGUGAAACGAGCCAUAUGGAUUCUGAAAUGUGUUCCUUGUGACAGCAGUUUGGAAACUUUCACAAUAUAAGAGAGAUGGAUAAGUAAUGACAGAAAUACAAAUUCCACCAACAACAAAUUUUGUAUAAGAAACUGAAAGAAAGUGUUAUGUAAAUGAACUUUGUAUAAGAUGAGAAGGUGGAAAGCACAAAGCCAUAUGAAGGAGAUGCUUAGAAAAAUAGAAUGGUGAUCACUUUGUGUAGCGUGUACCUUAUUGUUUGUUAGUUAAAAUUUGCACAGGUAUAAGAGAUGCAUCAUGUUAAUCAUAUGGAAUGUUGUUCACAUAUGCUCUGAAUGAUCAUACAAAAAUCAAGAAUCAGAAAAUCAGAAUCAAAAUCAAAUCAGAAUUCAAACAAAAAGGCAAAGCUUUGUUAAUGGUAUGUUUAGUGUAUCCAGCUUACAUUUUCUGCAUAUUUAAUGUUAACAUCUUAAUCCAACAAUGCCUACAGAUUUAUAUGGCGCUUUCAGAUGAUAAGCCUGGAUUUGGAAGAUGAAUAAUGGCAUUCAGUCCACAAACAACAUUUCAACUGAAUCAGUUAACUGGAAAAUGGAACAUGUUCAGGAAUAUAAAUUUUACUGGAGAAAUAAAAAGCGGUCUUUCACAGAAUCAGCAUUGGUCAGGAAGAAAAUAUAUUUUUACUGAUAUAAUAAUUGCAGAUGCCCCUAUAACCCCUGUUAUUAAUAUAUGUGUUUAUCUUGGAUCUUGCUCACCAGUGUGACAAAAAUAGUUUUGGGAAAUGUUCCCUUUUCCACCUUAACUGGCUCUGAGAUAAUAAAAAACAUCAUUUUGCCAGUUAAUGAACAGUCCUGUCAAUAAGAGUUACAUUUUUAUCCAGA